ACUUUGGGAGGCAGAGGUGGGUGGAUCACGAGGUCAGGAGUUCAAGACCAGCCUGGCCGAGAUGAUGAAACCCCAUGUCUACUAAAAAUACGAAAAUUAGCCGGGAGUAGUGGUGGUGCUCCUGUAAUCCCAGCUACUCGGGAGGCUGAGGCAGGAGAGUCACUUGAUCCCGGGGGGCAGAGGUCGUAGUGAGCCGAGAUCGUACCAUUGCACUCCAGCCUGGGCGGCAGAGUGAGACUCCGUCUCAAAAAAAAAAAGAAAAGCAGAUUGCCUAAGAGGAUGGACAGAUGGACACUGGGUGAGCAGAGUGGCCUGGCCGCUGGCACACCUCCCUGGGCAGGACCAGGCAGCCUCCAGAGGGGCUUCAGGAGUGACCGGGCCUGGCCUCCCCACCACAGGCUAGGGUGGACAUUUGGGGCCUUCUGGGGCCAAAGUGCAGACUGCUGGGGAUGCAGGUGGCUUGGAUGUUCUCUGACUUUGUUGCUGGGAGCUCCGCUAAAGAGUGUCUGCGCUGUGGCUUCUUUGCAGGAGAAGUUUUCAGGUUGCUGGAGGAAGAGGGCGUCUCCCUCCCCGACCUGGAACCAGCCCCUCUGGACAGCCUGUGCAGCGGUGCCUCUGCAGAGGAGCCCAGCAGCCAUCGGGGAGGGGGCUCGGGGGGCUACCUGGAGCACGUGUUCCGGCACGCGGCCCGAGAGCUCUUUGGAAUCCAUGUGGCUGAGGUUACCUACAAACCCCUGAGGAACAAAGACUUCCAGGAGGUGACACUGGAGAAGGAGGGCCAGGUGCUGCUGCACUUCGCAAUGGCGUACGGCUUCCGCAACAUCCAGAACCUGGUGCAGAGGCUCAAACGAGGGCGCUGCCCCUACCACUAUGUGGAGGUCAUGGCCUGCCCCUCAGGCUGCCUGAACGGCGGGGGCCAGCUCCAGGCCCCAGACAGGCCCAGCAGAGAGCUCCUCCAGCACGUGGAGAGACUGUACGGCAUGGUCCGGGCUGAGGCGCCCGAGGACGCGCCUGGGGUUCGGGAGCUGUACACACACUGGCUGCAGGGCACGGACUCGGAGUGUGCAGGUCGCUUGCUGCAUACGCAGUACCACGCCGUGGAGAAGGCCAGCACUGGCCUGGGCAUCCGGUGGUAGGGGCUGCAGGACCAGGACUCCCAGGAGGCCGUGUCCAUGUGUGACAGCAGAACCACAUGCCCCAAGACCCCAGGGCUCCCCCCAAAAUUCUGAGUGAGCUGCAGGGUGUGCUGGGACCCGAGUAGGAGCUAGGACUGGCCAGGACCCGCAGCCGCCUCGUCACCUCCAGUUGGGUGCCUCUGGGUUCCCACUGGCUCUGCCCAGGUGGGGUGGGG
rnacentral:sRNA from 1 species